GAUGAACGCUGGCGGCGUGCCUAAUACAUGCAAGUCGAGCGAACAGAUGAGGAGCUUGCUCCUCUGACGUUGGCGGCGGACGGGUGAGUAACACGUGGAUAACCUACCUAUAAGACUGGGAUAACUUCGGGAAACCGGAGCUAAUACCGGAUAAUAUAUUGAACCGCAUGGUUCAAUAGUGAAAGACGGUUUUGCUGUCACUUAUAGAUGGAUCCGCGCCGCAUUAGCUAGUUGGUAAGGUAACGGCUUACCAAGGCAACGAUGCGUAGCCGACCUGAGGGGGUGAUCCGCCACACUGGAACUGAGACACGGUCCAGACUCCUACGGGAGGCAGCAGUAGGGAAUCUUCCGCAAUGGGCGAAAGCCUGACGGAGCAACGCCGCGUGAGUGAUGAAGGUCUUCGGAUCGUAAAACUCUGUUAUUAGGGAAGAACAAAUGUGUAAGUAACUAUGCACGUCUUGACGGUACCUAAUCAGAAAGCCACGGCUAACUACGUG
rnacentral:rRNA from 1 species